rnacentral:ncRNA from 2 species
CUCUUAUCGAGAGUGGCGGAGGGACGGGCCCGAUGAAGCCCGGCAACCGGCCUUAAGGCACGGUGCCAAUUCCCGCAGGAAGGAAUUCCUGGCAGAUGAGAG